rnacentral:lncRNA from 1 species
CCUGACCUCAGGUGAUCCACCCGCCUCGGCCUCCCAAAGUGCUGGAAUUACAGGCGUGAGCCACCGCGCCCUGCCAAGCAACGUCACUUAUUACCCCUGCUGACUUGGGAGCAAAUGUCACAUAUAAAUUCCCCCACGUGCGGAGGUGUUUCCCUUUCCUUGCUGUGUCUGCAUUCGACAGCAGCCACGCUAAGCGGCUGGACCAAAUGGAGCAUCAUAACGUGUUAUUUUAUUUUAUGAUUUUAUUUUAUGUUUUUUGAGACAGAGUCUCGCUCCUCCCGUCCACCUGCCGGCGCUCCUGGGGCUUCGGGCCACGGCUGUCUCCUCCGGGAGCGGCGGCGCUGUAGGAAGCCUGGUCCUCUCCCUCAGCGGUCACAGCCAUCGCUCGCGUACGCCCCCGGACUGACGCCUCCCGCCGGGAGCCCUCUUCGAAUCCCGCCUGCGCAACUCCCACGCCACAGCCCUGGGCCAUCCCUGCUCCCGCGCAGCCCCGGCCGCCUGCCUCCUACCUCGCCUCCCCAAGGCCCCAGCGCGCCGGGGCUUCCCUGUCCCGGGCGCCUGCUCGUGGCGGCGGGCGGGCUCCUUGUCCGGCUCUUAAGGGCCGGCGCCGGCUCCUGGGCCUCCCCUCCUUCCCAUCGCGGCCUGCUCCUCCCACCCGCCUUCUCCGAGCUGAUGCCAAGGCCGGACGGACGCGACAAAGGCCUGCUGCCGAACGUGACCUGUCCGCAGAGUAGACAGACGGGCCCCCUGACCGCCAGACUGAGGAGACCCGGCGGGCGGGAGCGGAUGGGCGCGCCUGCGCACCCCCUCCCGGCGCUCGCCAGUCACGUGGGGCCGCGAGUGGCGCCGCUGCCGGAAGCGCCCCCCAAGGAAACGCAAGCAGUGGCGGAGCGGGGUUCCGCCUGGGCCGGGCUCUAGCGCCGGCGCUGCGCGGGAGUCAUCGCGUGCCGACUUCCGUGUUGUCGCUCUCCCCUCCCAAAAGCGCGGCCGCGAGGACGGGCGCUGCCAGCGAUUUCCUCGCCUUUGUGUCGCGGGGCUGUCCGCUGCGCGUUACUUGGUGCGAUACGCGCAUUCGGCGGUGAUCCCGAGCCCCACGCGAACCUCCCUGUGUCCUUGCUAGUGCCUGGCGCCGUCACUGACGCUGAGGCGUGAACACGGAGUCGGCCCAGAGGGGCUGUUCUCCCGGACGCCGAGGCCACCCCACGCGGCCGCAGGGCCGGGCAGAGGGGAACUGCAGGGAGGCGCGGGCCGCAUCCCUCCCGGAGGUCUGCGAGCUUCUUGAGGCCUCACGCCCCCUUUUGAGCCCCGCUGCUGCCCUGUGGCGCUGCUUCUCCAUCCCUGCGGGUGACCAUCGACGCGUUCCCCUUGCUCGCUUCUUGGUUACGGGCCAGGGGAUACUCCUGCCCGACCCUCGGCAUUGCCCAAGGGAGUUUGCACUUCCCACUGUGCUCUGCCAAGCCUCUGUGGAGAGGAGCCCUCCACCUGCCUGACCGGGCCCAGCUUUGGGGAAGACCUUCUUGGUUUUGUCUGCUGGCUGGACUGACCCUGGCCCUCAGCCCAGGUGAGGCGACCAGCGGCAUGAUGCCCGGGUGGAACACGGAUUUCUCUCCAGGGUGGCCGAAGAAUGGUUUAGAAGCAGCAGUGGGAUGAGGGAGAAUCCCGACCCCGUCUCAAAAGGCCCUCAGAUUGGACAGUGCUCACCCACACUGGUGUGGGUGGGUCUUCUGUACGCAGUUUACUAUACUAAUUCAAGUGCCAACUUCUUCCAGAAACGCCCUCACAGACACACCCAGAAAUCACAUUUACCAGCUAUCUGGGCACCCCCUUGCCCAGUCAAGUUGACAUAAAAUUAACCAUCCACCAUGUGACAACUGAGGCAGAGCUCGAAGUGCUGCAGCUUCAAGCUGAGGAAAGCAGGACUGUGACCCCACACCAGAUGCUGCUAGGAGAGCAGCGAGGGAGGGGCCUCCUCUCAGCCUUCAGAGGAAGCGCAGCCCUGUGGCACCUUGCCAUCCGGCCUCCAGAGCUGUGUGAAUGCAUUUCUGCCAUUUGUAGCAUGCAAUUUGUGGUCCUUUGUUACGGCAGUGGAACCCCAGCGCAGCCCCCGACCACAGUGUCUGGGCAAGUGGGAGGGAGGGGGUAGACAAGCAACCAGAUCCCACAGUUGGGUUUUGCUUAGUGAUUCCAAAGAGAGACCCAACCAAGGGCCCAGGCUUCUACCCCUGGGCUUUCAAGGAAGUGACAGAAGCUACACAGCUUGGCCAGGCGCGGUGGCUCACGCCUAUAAUCCCAGCACUUUGGGAGGCCAAGGCAGAUGUUUGAGACCAGCCUGGCCAACGUGGUGAAACCCCAUCUCAGCCAAACAUGCAAAAAUCAGCCGGGUGUGGUGGCACAUGCCUGUGAUCCCAGCUACUCAGGAGGCUGAGGCAGGAGAAUCACUUGAACCAGAGGCAGAGGUUACAGUGAGCCAAGAUUGCACCCCUGUAUUCCAGCCCAGGUGACUGAGCGAGAGUCCUAUAAGCUACACAGCUCUGGCAGCCUCAUGUCAUACCCUCUCCUGUCCUACCUACAAGAGGGGAGGGAAUUCAGAGCACAUAUCCUGAUAGGCAAAAUGCAGUGAUUCCCACCCCUGUCACCCCUGAAGCAGCGAGGGUGUGCAUUUGAAAUGCUUGCAGGUGAGGACUCUGGCAUCUCACCCCCCAGCUGGGAGCCAGCCAAGCUACAUUCCCUGCAGACAGUCCUGCUGUCUCCCUGGGAGCAGAGCGAUCCUUGGGGCUGGGCUUAUUGUCCCCGAAGGUGGGCUGUCCAGAUGAACGUGGAGACGAUGCCCACCACCUUGGGUAUUUCCGAAUGUGGGAGCCCAUGAGAGCAGCAGGCACCAAACUAGUAAGGAGGCAGGCAGGGUGGCAGGCCUGGGGCGAGAACGCCCUGGGUGGGGCCUGCAGAAACUGGAGCUCUCUCCUUCGAACUCAUUUAGAGGUGCAGGCAGGGGUCAGGGAGUAGACCAGGGGCCGAGGUGCCCGGAGGCCAGCCAUGUAGGGCCGUGAGGCUGGUGAGGUUUGAGAGUCAGGGACCCUGACCUUCACGCCCUUUCUCAGGGCCCUGGGAGGGACCCCAGAAAUGUACUUGCAGAGUCAUGUGACAUAAUUUACAUACCUUAAAUAAAUACACAUAUCUCUACAUUUCUCUCCAUACCAUCUGUCCAUCUAUCUACAGUCUGCCAGGGCUGCCAAAACAAAAUACUACAGCCUGGGCAGCUUAAACAAUGGAUUUUUUUCUUUUUUUGAGGCAAGGUCUUACUCUGUUGCCCAGGCUGGAAUGCAGGGGUGCGAUCUCGGCUCACUGCAACCUCUGUCUCCUGGGUUCAAGUGAUUCUCCCACCUCACCCUCCCCAGUAGCUGGGACUACAGGUGCCCACCACCAUGCUCGGCUAGUUUUUGUAUUUUUGGUAGAGAC